GGCUCAGGACGAACGCUGGCGGCGUGCUUAACACAUGCAAGUCGAACGAUGAUCUCCAGCUUGCUGGGGGGAUUAGUGGCGAACGGGUGAGUAACACGUGAGUAACCUGCCCUGGACUCUGGGAUAACCCCGAGAAAUCGGAGCUAAUACCGGAUAGGACCUGGAACCGCAUGGUUUUGGGUGGAAAGUUUUUCGGUCUGGGAUGGACUCGCGGCCUAUCAGCUUGUUGGUGAGGUAAUGGCUCACCAAGGCGUCGACGGGUAGCCGGCCUGAGAGGGUGACCGGCCACACUGGGACUGAGACACGGCCCAGACUCCUACGGGAGGCAGCAGUGGGGAAUAUUGCACAAUGGGCGCAAGCCUGAUGCAGCAACGCCGCGUGCGGGAUGACGGCCUUCGGGUUGUAAACCGCUUUUAGUAAGGAAGAAGGGAAGCGCAAGCUUUUUGACGGUACUUGCAGAAAAAGGACCGGCUAACUACGUGCCAGCAGCCGCGGUAAUACGUAGGGUCCGAGCGUUGUCCGGAAUUAUUGGGCGUAAAGAGCUCGUAGGCGGUUUGUCGCGUCUGCUGUGAAAUCCCGAGGCUCAACCUCGGGUCUGCAGUGGGUACGGGCAGACUGGAGUGCGGUAGGGGAGAAUGGAAUUCCUGGUGUAGCGGUGGAAUGCGCAGAUAUCAGGAGGAACACCGAUGGCGAAGGCAGUUCUCUGGGCCGUAACUGACGCUGAGGAGCGAAAGCGUGGGGAGCGAACAGGAUUAGAUACCCUGGUAGUCCACGCCGUAAACGUUGGGCGCUAGAUGUGGGGACCUUUCCACGGUUUCCGUGUCGUAGCUAACGCAUUAAGCGCCCCGC
rnacentral:rRNA from 1 species